rnacentral:rRNA from 1 species
CCUACGCGUGGCAGCAGUGAGGAAUAUUGGUCAAUGGGCGCGAGCCUGAACCAGCCAAGUCGCGUGAGGGAAGACGGCCCUACGGGUUGUAAACCUCUUUUGCCGGGGAGCAACGGGCGCCACGUGUGGCGCCACUGAGAGUACUCGGAGAAAAAGCAUCGGCUACACCCGUGCCAGCAGCCGCGGUAGUACGGGGGAUGCGAGGGUUAUCCGGAUUUAUUGGGGUAAAGGGGUGCGUAGGCGGAGCGUUAAGUCAGUGGUGAAAUGGAGGGGCUCAACCCCUUCCCGCCAUUGAAACUGGCGCUCUUGAGUGGAAGAGAAGUAUGCGGAAUGCGUGGUGUAGCGGUGAAAUGCAUAGAUAUCACGCAGAACCCCGAUUGCGAAGGCAGCAUGCCGGCUUCCGACUGACGCUGAAGCACGAAAGCGUGGGGAUCGAACAGGAUUAGAUACCCUUGUAGUC